GACGGAGGGGGCAAGUGUUGUCCGGAAUUACUGGGUGUAAAGGGCAUGUAAAUGGUUGGGUAAGUCAGAUAUGAAAUCCCUCGGCUCAACCGAGGAACAGUAUCUGAAACUACCUAACUAGAGUUUGGAAGAGGAGAGCGGAACUCCUGGUGUAGCGGUGGAAUGCGUAGAUAUCAGGAGGAACACCAGUGGCGAAGGCGGCUCUCUAGUCCAAAACUGACAUCGAAAUGCGAAAGCUAGGGGAG
rnacentral:rRNA from 1 species